rfam:Clostridiales bacterium PH28_bin88 ph28_352, whole genome shotgun sequence.
UUUUUCCACUAGGGGUGCCGUGACGGCUGAGAGAAAAGCGCGGGCUUUUCAACCCUUGAACCUGAUCUGGGUAAUACCAGCGGAGGGAAGUGUACUGGAGGUUUG